rnacentral:rRNA from 1 species
CCUACGGGGGGCUGCAGUAGGGAAUCUUCGGCAAUGGGGGCAACCCUGACCGAGCAACGCCGCGUGAGUGAAGAAGGUUUUCGGAUCGUAAAACGCUGUUGUUAGAGAAGAACGUUAAGUAGAGUGGACAAUUACUUAAGUGACGGUAUCUAACCAGAAAGAGACGGCUAACUACGUGCCAGCAGCCGCGGUAAUAAGUAGGUCCCAAGCGUUGUCCGGAUUUAUUGGGCGGAAAGCGAGCGCAGGUGGUUUAUUAAGUCUGAUGGAAACUGCAGUGGCUCAACCACUGUGUGCAUUGGAAACUGGGAGACUUGAGUGCAGGAGAGGAGAGUGGAAUUCCAUGUGUAGCGGUGAAAUGCGUAGAUAUAUGGAGGAACACCGGAGGCGAAAGCGGCUCUCUGGCCUGUAACUGACACUGAGGCUCGAAAGCGUGGGGAGCAAACAGGAUUAGAUACCCGGGUAGUC